rnacentral:rRNA from 1 species
AGUGGGGAAUCUUCCGCAAUGGACGAAAGUCUGACGGAGCAACGCCGCGUGAGUGAUGACGGCCUUCGGGUUGUAAAGCUCUGUUAAUCGGGACGAAAGGCCUUCUUGCGAAUAGUGAGAAGGAUUGACGGUACCGGAAUAGAAAGCCACGGCUAACUACGUGCCAGCAGCCGCGGUAAUACGUAGGUGGCAAGCGUUGUCCGGAAUUAUUGGGCGUAAAGCGCGCGCAGGCGGAUAGGUCAGUCUGUCUUAAAAGUUCGGGGCUUAACCCCGUGAUGGGAUGGAAACUGCCAAUCUAGAGUAUCGGAGAGGAAAGUGGAAUUCCUAGUGUAGCGGUGAAAUGCGUAGAUAUUAGGAAGAACACCAGUGGCGAAGGCGACUUUCUGGACGAAAACUGACGCUGAGGCGCGAAAGCCAGGGGAGCGAACGGGAUUA